UGGGGAAUUUUGGACAAUGGGCGAAAGCCUGAUCCAGCAAUGCCGCGUGUGUGAAGAAGGCCUUCGGGUUGUAAAGCACUUUUGUCCGGAAAGAAAUCCUUGGCUCUAAUACAGUCGGGGGAUGACGGUACCGGAAGAAUAAGCACCGGCUAACUACGUGCCAGCAGCCGCGGUAAUACGUAGGGUGCAAGCGUUAAUCGGAAUUACUGGGCGUAAGCGUGCGCAGGCGGUUUGCUAAGACCGAUGUGAAAUCCCCGGGCUCAACCUGGGAACUGCAUUGGUGACUGGCAGGCUAGAGUAUGGCAGAGGGGGGUAGAAUUCCACGUGUAGCAGUGAAAUGCGUAGAGAUGUGGAGGAAUACCGAUGGCGAAGGCAGUCCCCUGGGCCAAUACUGACGCUCAUGCACGAAAGCGUGGGGAGCAAACAGGAUUAGAUACCCUGGUAGUCCACGCCCUAAACGAUGUCAACUAGUUGUUGGGGAUUCAUUUCCUUAGUAACGUAGCUAACGCGUGAAGUUGACCGCCUGGGGAGUACGGUCGCAA
rnacentral:rRNA from 1 species